rnacentral:rRNA from 1 species
ACUCCGCCUGGGGAGUACGGUCGCAAGACUGAAACUCAAAGGAAUUGACGGGGACCCGCACAAGCGGUGGAGCAUGUGGUUUAAUUCGACGCAACGCGAAGAACCUUACCAGGUCUUGACAUCCCUCUGCCGUCUGUAGAGAUACAGAUUUCCCUUUUGGGACGGAGGAGACAGGUGGUGCAUGGUUGUCGUCAGCUCGUGUCGUGAGAUGUUGGGUUAAGUCCCGCAACGAGCGCAACCCUUAUCUUUAGUAGCCAGCGAGUAAAGUCGGGCACUCUAGAGAGACUGCCGGGGUUAACCCGGAGGAAGGUGGGGAUGACGUCAAAUCAUCAUGCCCCUUAUGACCUGGGCUACACACGUGCUACAAUGGGUGGUACAAAGGGAAGCGAAGCGGUGACGUGGAGCAAAUCCCAAAAAGCCACUCUCAGUUCGGAUUGUAGUCUGCAACUCGACUACAUGAAGUCGGAAUCGCUAGUAAUCGUGGAUCAGCAUGCCACGGUGAAUACGUUCCCGGGUCUUGUACACACCGCCCGUCACACCAUGAGAGUCUGUAACACCCGAAGCCGGUGGCCUAACCCAUAAAGGGAGGGAGCCGUCGAAGGUGGGACAGAUGAUUGGGGUGAAGUCGUAACAAGGUAUCCCUACGGGAACGUGGGGAUG